GUCCACGCCGUAACGGUGGGCGCUAGUUGUGCGAACCUUCCACGGUUGUGCGACGCAGCUAACGCAUUAAGCGCCCGCCUGGGAGUACGAUCGCAAGAUUAAACUCAAAGGAAUUGACGGGCCCCGCACAAGCAGCGGAGCAUGCGGCUUAAUUCUACGCAACGCGAAGAACCUUACCAAGGCUUGACAUAUACAGGAAUACGGCAGAGAUGUCGUAGCCGCAAGGUCUGUAUACAGGUGGUGCAUGGUUGUCGU
rnacentral:rRNA from 1 species